GAGUCCGGUCUCAAAAUGGAGGUAAAACCGCCGACGGGUCACCCCCAGCCCAACUCCUGCCGUCGCAGUCGCCAUCGCCGCUGGGGGGAGGAGGGUCAUGAUCCAAAGGAACCAGAGCAGUUAAGAAAACUGUUUAUUGGUGGUCUGAGCUUUGAAACUACAGAAGAUAGUUUAAGAGAACAUUAUGAGAAACGGGGCACACUUACAGAUUGUGUGGUAAUGGGAGAUCCCCAAACCGAAAGUUCCAGGGGCUUUGGUUUUGUGACUUAUUCUUGUGUUGAAGAGGUGGAUGCAGCAAUGUGUGCUCAACCACACAAGGUUGAUGGGCAUGUCGUGGAACCAAAGAGAGCUGUUGCUAGAGAGGAUUCUGUAAAGCCUGGUGCUCACUGAAGAAAAUUUUUGUUGGUGGUAUUAAAGAUUGAAACCAUAGAAGUUAUGGAAGACAGGCAGAGUAGAAAAAAGAGAGGAUUUGCUUUUGUAACUUUUGAUGAUCAUGAUACAUUUGAUAAAAUUGUUGUUCAGAAAUACCACACUAUUAAUGGGCAUAAUUGUGAAGUGAAAAAGGCCCUUUCUAAACAAGAGAUGCAGUCUGCUGGAUCACAGAGAGGUCGUGGAGGUGGAUCUGGCAAUUUUAUGGGUCGCGGAGGAAACUUUGGAGGUGGUGGAGGUAAUUUUGGCCGUGGUGGAAACUUUGGUGGAAGAGGAGGUUAUGGUGGUGGAGGUGGUGGCAGCAGAGGUAGUUAUGGAGGAGGUGAUGGUGGAUAUAAUGGAUUUGGUGAUGGUGGCAACUAUGGUGGUGGUCCUGGUUAUAGUAGUAGAGGGGGCUAUGGUGGUGGUGGACCAGGAUAUGGAAACCAAGGUGGUGGAUAUGGUGGCGGUGGUGGAGGAUAAGAUGGUUACAACGAAGGAGGAAAUUUUGGCAGUGGUAACUAUGGUGGUGGUGGGAACUAUAAUGAUUUUGGAAAUUAUAGUGGACAACAGCAAUCAAAUUAUGGACCCAUGAAAGGGAGCAGUUUUGGUGGAAGAAGCUCGGGCAGUCCCUGUGGUGGUGGUUAUGGAUCUGGUGGUGGAAGUGGUGGAUAUGGUGGCAGAAGGUUCUAAAAGCAGCAGACAAGGGAUCCAGUUCUUAGCAGGAGGGAGAGCGAGGAGCUGUCAGGAAAGCUGCAGGUUACUUUGAGACAGUCGUCCCAAAUGCAUUAGAGGAACUGCAAAAAUCUGCCACAGAAGGAGCGACGAUCCAUAGUCAGAAAAGUUACUGCAGCUUCAACAGGAAACCCUUCUUGUUCAGGACUGUCAUAGCCACAGUUUGCAAAAAGUGCAGCUAUUGAUUAAUGCAAUGUAGUGUCAAUUAGAUGUACAUUCCUGAGGUCUUUUAUCUGUUGUAGCUUUGUCUUUUUCUUUUCAUUACAUCAGG